GACGAACGCUGGCGGCGUGCUUAACACAUGCAAGUCGAACGGUGAAGCCCAGCUUGCUGGGUGGAUGAGUGGCGAACGGGUGAGUAACACGUGAGUAACCUGCCCCCUUCUUCUGGAUAACUGCCUGAAAGGGUAGCUAAUACGGGAUAUUCUGGCCUGCUCGCAUGGGUGGGUUUGGAAAGGUUUUUUCUGGUGGGGGAUGGGCUCGCGGCCUAUCAGCUUGUUGGUGGGGUGAUGGCCUACCAAGGCUUUGACGGGUAGCCGGCCUGAGAGGGUGGACGGCCACACUGGGACUGAGACACGGCCCAG
rnacentral:rRNA from 1 species